ACAUACACUCUAAAAACCGUUGGGUUAUUUGUUUUACCCAACAGGUGGGUUAAACAUAUUGGGUUGUUGUGUUGGGUUAUUCCUAGCUUGUAUUGGGUUAUUUCUAUAACAACCCAGACCGAUGGGUUAAAAUCGGGCUCACGUCACGCAUUUUGAAUUUCAAUGGUCGACAGGUGCCACUGCUGAGUGCGGACAGACACGAGAGACAUUCUUGGAGAUGUUGCAUUAAAAACCUUUCAAAAUGGCCAGCAAGAUGGUUCAGCCUUCCUACAGUACCAAGAAGCAAAGCAAGCAUUUAUAAAUUUUCAACCUGUCAGAAAACAAACAUAAUUCAGUAUUUGGAGGUGGAGGUAGGACGAAGACCCCAUGUCCUGUUAUGGGAUGAAUUCGACUAAUCACAAGCCUUUGUUAUCGUGGGGAGGCAUGGCCCAGGAGCAAGACCAGCAGUUGAC